rnacentral:lncRNA from 1 species
AGUGUGGCUCCCAGGUCGGAGAAGCACAAUAGACCGACCAUCCCCACGGGAGUACCCGUGUAAUCCACGAUAAAACCGGGAAAACUAACCAGCAAGGCCAAACGCACAGAAGUCGCUUCAAAUGAACGGCUUUUACAGACAAACGGUGAACUUUGUUCAGGUCAAGUUGAUCCUCGUUUUCCUGCUUCGAUCAAACAGAGACGCUGAGGCACCACCAACCCCCAACUCCCACCGUAACUCAAUCACAGGGAUGAGGUCCCUGGUGAAGGAGGCCUGGAAGGUGUGG